CUUUAUACUGUGAAACUGCGAAUGGCUCAUUAAAUCAGUUAUCGUUUAUUUGAUAGUACCUUACUACAUGGAUACCUGUGGUAAUUCUAGAGCUAAUACAUGCUAAAAACCCCGACUUCAGGAAGGGGUGUAUUUAUUAGAUAAAAAACCAACGCCCUUCGGGGCUCCUUGGUGAAUCAUAAUAACUUAACGAAUCGCAUGGCCUUGCGCCGGCGAUGGUUCAUUCAAAUUUCUGCCCUAUCAACUUUCGAUGGUAGGAUAGUGGCCUACCAUGGUGGCAACGGGUAACGGGGAAUUAGGGUUCGAUUCCGGAGAGGGAGCCUGAGAAACGGCUACCACAUCCAAGGAAGGCAGCAGGCGCGCAAAUUACCCAAUCCCGAUACGGGGAGGUAGUGACAAUAAAUACUGAUACGGGGCUCUUUUGGGUCUCGUAAUUGGAAUGAGAACAAUUUAAAUCCCUUAACGAGGAACAAUUGGAGGGCAAGUCUGGUGCCAGCAGCCGCGGUAAUUCCAGCUCCAAUAGCGUAUAUUAAAGUUGUUGCAGUUAAAAAGCUCGUAGUUGAACCUUGGGUCUGGCUGGCCGGUCCGCCUCACCGCGAGUACUGGUCCGGCUGGACCUUUCCUUCUGGGGAACCUCAUGGCCUUCACUGGCUGUGGGGGGAACCAGGACUUUUACUGUGAAAAAAUUAGAGUGUUCAAAGCAGGCCUUUGCUCGAAUACAUUAGCAUGGAAUAAUAGAAUAGGACGUGUGGUUCUAUUUUGUUGGUUUCUAGGACCGCCGUAAUGAUUAAUAGGGAUAGUCGGGGGCGUCAGUAUUCAGCUGUCAGAGGUGAAAUUCUUGGAUUUGCUGAAGACUAACUACUGCGAAAGCAUUCGCCAAGGAUGUUUUCAUUAAUCAGGGAACGAAAGUUAGGGGAUCGAAGACGAUCAGAUACCGUCGUAGUCUUAACCAUAAACUAUGCCGACUAGGGAUCGGACGGGAUUCUAUGAUGA
rnacentral:rRNA from 1 species